CCUACGGGAGGCAGCAGUAGGGAAUCUUCCACAAUGGGCGAAAGCCUGAUGGAGCAACGCCGCGUGAGUGAUGAAGGCCUUCGGGUUGUAAAACUCUGUCAUUCGGGACGAACCGGAGUCUGAGGAAAUGCAGACUCUCUGACGGUACCGGAGGAGGAAGCCCCGGCUAACUACGUGCCAGCAGCCGCGGUAAUACGUAGGGGGCAAGCGUUGUCCGGAUUCACUGGGCGUAAAGCGCGCGCAGGCGGUGAUGUAAGUCUGAGGUGAAAACCCGAAGCUCAACUUCGGGACUGCCUUGGAUACUGCGUCACUUGAGGAUAGGAGAGGCAAGGGGAAUUCCACGUGUAGCGGUGAAAUGCGUAGAGAUGUGGAGGAACACCUGUGGCGAAGGCGCCUUGCUGGCCUAUUUCUGACGCUGAGGCGCGAAAGCGUGGGGAGCAAACAGGAUUAGAUACCCUGGUAGUCCACGCUGUAAACGAUGAGUGCUAGGUGUAGGUGGGCUCAUACCCAUCUGUGCCGAAGCUAACGCAUUAAGCACUCCGCCCUGGGGAGUACGGUCGCGAGACGAGAACGUACGAAGUAGAGUAGACGGACGNGAGGAGNGCGAGGACGACGACGAGGGGAGUAGG
rnacentral:rRNA from 1 species